rnacentral:rRNA from 1 species
GUGGGGAAUAUUGCACAAUGGGCGCAAGCCUGAUGCAGCAACGCCGCGUGAGGGACGACGGCCUUCGGGUUGUAAACCUCUUUUAGCAGGGAAGAAGCGAAAGUGACGGUACCUGCAGAAAAAGCACCGGCUAACUACGUGCCAGCAGCCGCGGUAAUACGUAGGGUGCAAGCGUUGUCCGGAAUUAUUGGGCGUAAAGAGCUCGUAGGCGGUUUGUCGCGUCUGCUGUGAAAACCCGAGGCUCAACCUCGGGCCUGCAGUGGGUACGGGCAGACUAGAGUGCGGUAGGGGAGAUUGGAAUUCCUGGUGUAGCGGUGGAAUGCGCAGAUAUCAGGAGGAACACCGAUGGCGAAGGCAGAUCUCUGGGCCGUAACUGACGCUGAGGAGCGAAAGCGUGGGGAGCGAACAGGAUUAGAAACCCCGGUAGUCC